rnacentral:rRNA from 1 species
GGGGGGGGCAAGCGUUGUUCGGAAUUACUGGGCGUAAAGGGCGCGUAGGCGGGCGGGCAAGUCUCUCGUGAAAGCCCACGGCUCAACCGUGGAAUUGCGGGAGAUACUGCUCGUCUUGAGUCCGGGAGAGGAGGGUGGAAUUCCCAGUGUAGCGGUGAAAUGCGUAGAUAUUGGGAGGAACACCGGUGGCGAAGGCGGCUCUCUGGACCGGUACUGACGCUGAGGCGCGAAAGCUAGGGGAGCAAACGGGAUUAGAUACCCCGGUAGUCCUAGCCGUAAACGAUGAGCACUUGGUGUGGCGGGUAUCGACCCCUGCCGUGCCGAAGCUAACGCAUUAAGUGCUCCGCCUGGGGAGUACGGUCGCAAGGCUGAA